ensembl:rRNA 5S_rRNA 5S ribosomal RNA
GUCUAUGGCCAUACCACUCCGAAUGUACUCAAUCUUAUCUGAUCUAGGAAGCUAAGCAGGGUCAGACUUGUUAUGGGAGACCACCUGGUGGUAGUGGGUGCUGUGUACG